rnacentral:rRNA from 1 species
AUGCAGUCGAACGGCAGCAUGAUCUAGCUUGCUAGAUUGAUGGCGAGUGGCGAACGGGUGAGUAAUACAUCGGAACGUGCCCUGUAGUGGGGGAUAACUAGUCGAAAGAUUAGCUAAUACCGCAUACGACCUGAGGGUGAAAKAGGGGGACCGCAAGGCCUCAUGCUAUAGGAGCGGCCGAUGUCUGAUUAGCUAGUUGGUGGGGUAAAGGCCCACCAAGGCGACGAUCAGUAGCUGGUCUGAGAGGACGAUCAGCCACACUGGGACUGAGACACGGCCCAGACUCCUACGGGAGGCAGCAGUGGGGAAUUUUGGACAAUGGGCGAAAGCCUGAUCCAGCAAUGCCGCGUGUGUGAAGAAGGCCUUCGGGUUGUAAAGCACUUUUGUCCGGAAAGAAAUGGCUCUGGUUAAUACCUGGGGUCGAUGACGGUACCGGAAGAAUAAGGACCGGCUAACUACGUGCCAGCAGCCGCGGUAAUACGUAGGGUCCAAGCGUUAAUCGGAAUUACUGGGCGUAAAGCGUGCGCAGGCGGUUGUGCAAGACCGAUGUGAAAUCCCCGAGCUUAACUUGGGAAUUGCAUUGGUGACUGCACGGCUAGAGUGUGUCAGAGGGGGGUAGAAUUCCACGUGUAGCAGUGAAAUGCGUAGAGAUGUGGAGGAAUACCGAUGGCGAAGGCAGCCCCCUGGGAUAACACUGACGCUCAUGCACGAAAGCGUGGGGAGCAAACAGGAUUAGAUACCCUGGUAGUCCACGCCCUAAACGAUGUCAACUAGUUGUUGGGGAUUCAUUUCCUUAGUAACGUAGCUAACGCGUGAAGUUGACCGCCUGGGGAGUACGGUCGCAAGAUUAAAACUCAAAGGAAUUGACGGGGACCCGCACAAGCGGUGGAUGAUGUGGAUUAAUUCGAUGCAACGCGAAAAACCUUACCUACCCUUGACAUGCCACUAACGAAGCAGAGAUGCAUUAGUGCUCGAAAGAGAAAGUGGACACAGUGCUGCAUGGCUGUCGUCAGCUCGUGUCGUG